AACGGAAAGGCCCUGCUUGCAGGGUACUCGAGUGGCGAACGGGUGAGUAACACGUGGGUGAUCUGCCCUGCACUUCGGGAUAAGCUUGGGAAACUGGGUCUAAUACCGGAUAGGAGCCAUCUUUAGUGUGGUGGUUGGAAAGUUUUUUCGGUGUAGGAUGAGCUCGCGGCCUAUCAGCUUGUUGGUGGGGUAAUGGCCUACCAAGGCGGCGACGGGUAGCCGGCCUGAGAGGGUGUACGGCCACAUUGGGACUGAGAUACGGCCCAGACUCCUACGGGAGGCAGCAGUGGGGAAUAUUGCACAAUGGGCGCAAGCCUGAUGCAGCGACGCCGCGUGGGGGAUGAAGGCCUUCGGGUUGUAAACUCCUUUCGCUAGGGACGAAGCUUUUUUGUGACGGUACCUAGAUAAGAAGCACCGGCUAACUACGUGCCAGCAGCCGCGGUAAUACGUAGGGUGCGAGCGUUGUCCGGAAUUACUGGGCGUAAAGGGCUCGUAGGUGGUUUGUCGCGUCGUCUGUGAAAUUCUGGGGCUUAACUCCRGGCGUGCAGGCGAUACGGGCAUAACUUG
rnacentral:rRNA from 1 species